CACGCCCUAAACGAUGUCUACUAGUUGUUGGUGGAGUAAAAUCCAUUAGUAACGCAGCUAACGCGUGAAGUAGACCGCCUGGGGAGUACGGUCGCAAGAUUAAAACUCAAAGGAAUUGACGGGGGCCCGCACAAGCGGUGGAUUAUGUGGAUUAAUUCGAUGCAACGCGAAAAACCUUACCUGGCCUUGACAUGUACGGAACUUUCCAGAGAUGGAUGGGUGCCCGAAAGGGAGCCGUAACACAGGUGC
rnacentral:rRNA from 1 species